rnacentral:rRNA from 1 species
GAGAUUGGGCUUGACAUCCCACGAACCUGGUGAAAGCCAGGAGUGCCCGCAAGGGAGCGCAGAGACAGGUGGUGCAUGGCCGUCGUCAGCUCGUGUCGUGAGAUGUUGGGUUAAGUCCCGCAACGAGCGCAACCCUCACCCUUAGUUGCUCGUCCGCAAGGAAAGCACCCUAAGGGAACUGCCUCGGAUAACGGGGAGGAAGGUGGGGAUGACGUCAAGUCCUCAUGGCCUUUAUGUCCAGGGCUACACACGUGCUACAAUGGCCGGUAUAGAGCGUCGCAAACCCGCGAGGGGGAGCCAAUCGCAAAAAACCGGUCUCAGUUCGGAUUGCAGUCUGCAACUCGACUGCAUGAAGCUGGAAUCGCUAGUAAUCGCGUAUCAGCACGACGCGGUGAAUACGUUCCCGGGCCUUGUACACACCGCCCGUCACACCACGAAAGCCAGCUGUACUCGAAGUCGCUGAGA